rnacentral:lncRNA from 1 species
CGCCGAGAUGCAGGUCCGCUGCACUCCAGCUCCUCCGAACUCGGAGCCUCCGCCGACAAAACCACCGCCGAACCCGAAGCUCCGCCGAACUCAAACCUCCGCUGAGCUCCGAGCUCCAUCCACGAGGUCCGCUAGCUGAGCUCCCCUCCGCUCCGCCGAACUUCACCUCCGCUGGACUGUUCACCGCUGAGCGUCUCCUCCGCUGACCAACCUUCGCCGGACUGCUUCUUCCUCCGCUAGUAACCACCGACCGUCAGUC